rnacentral:rRNA from 1 species
ACAACGGGUGGAGCCUGCGGUUAAUUGGACUCAACGCCGGGCAGCUCACCGGAUAAGACAGCUGGAUGAUAGCCGGGCUGAAGACUCUGCUUGACUAGCUGAGAGGAGGUGCAUGGCCGUCGUCAGUUCGUACUGUGAAGCAUCCUGUUAAGUCAGGCAACGAACGAGACCCUUGCAUCUAGUUGCCAGCAGAUCCCUUCGGGAUGCUGGGUACCCUAGAUGGACCGCCACUGCUAAAGUGGAGGAAGGAGAGGGCGAGGGUAGGUCAGUAUGCCCCGAAUCUCCCGGGCUACACGCGGCCUACAAUGGACAGGACAAUGGGCUCCGAUCCCGAAAGGGAAAGGCAAUCCUUUAAACCUGUUCUUAGUUCGGAUUGAGGGCUGUAACUCGCCCUCAUGAAGCUGGAAUCUCUAGUAAUCGCGUGUCAUCAUCGCGCGGUGAAUACGUCCCUGCUCCUU